GUGCCAGCAGCCGCGGUAAUACGUAGGUGGCAAGCGUUAUCCGGAAUUAUUGGGCGUAAAGCGCGCGCAGGUGGUUUCUUAAGUCUGAUGUGAAAGCCCACGGCUCAACCGUGGAGGGUCAUUGGAAACUGGGAGACUUGAGUGCAGAAGAGGAAAGUGGAAUUCCAUGUGUAGCGGUGAAAUGCGUAGAGAUAUGGAGGAACACCAGUGGCGAAGGCGACUUUCUGGUCUGUAACUGACACUGAGGCGCGAAAGCGUGGGGAGCAAACAGGAUUAGAAACCCCCGUAGUCC
rnacentral:rRNA from 1 species